UCAUUUGCAGUCCAUCCAUUACCUAUGUACGUAAUUUCUUCAUGGGUUUUUAUUUUACUAAAAUAAAGAAACUGCUUUUAACAGAAACUUCUUGCUCAAGUCAUUUGAUAACAACUUUUUUCCUCGGAAAUUUCGACACUCCACAAACUUUUUCAGAGAUUUGUGUAAGCAAGCUGCUUGAAACAUUUGCUGGACCGGAAUGGACUUUAUGGUUGGCAUAAAACUGCUACACAUUACGAAGUGCACCCGAAACUAGAAAAUCUGUGGAGCUGUCCGUAACUUUGACAUAAACAAGGAUGGAAGUUAUUUUUAUUAUAAUUUGGUUUAGCAUAUAUGAAUACAUAGUAUAGCAUAGCUGUGCACUUCUAAUUUCAUUGCUAAUGUAUUUUGUACGGGUGUUGUCAUCAAGCUAGGCUUUUAUCUUGCAUUUGGGUUGCAAUCCUAUUUUUGUUGUAAGCAAACUAUAAAUUUUAAGCUUAAUUGAAGCAUAUCUUUAUUCAAUGAAUUAUAUAGUCUAUUUUAUAUUGUUUUGACGGCUAACUUAAUCUUGCGCUUGGAAUAAUUUCCUGGCGCAUUGUCUCACAAAGUGGCAAUGUGCGCAAUUUUUAAAACUGAUGCUUUAAUUGCGCAUUGUGAAACAUUUUACUUGGCCAAAAGCGCAUUAGUAUUUAAUAAUCUUGAUGAAAUAGAUGAAGCAUGGCUUUGGUAUAUAAGUGCACAUAUUUUUGAGUCAGAACAAUAUUCCGUGAGCUGUUUGUAAAGUUACCUGUCUCUGUAUUAAGAAAUGAGAAUUCACCAUUUGCUUUCAUUGUA